GUCAGCGGCCAGAGCAUGGGGGGCACGCCCGGUCCCGUUCCGAACCCGGAAGCUAAGCCCCAUCGCGCCGAGAGUACUGCGGGG
rnacentral:rRNA from 5 species